GACAUGUCAACACUCUUAAUGUGUCUAUAUAUAACGCUCCGAGCCGAUUCAGGAUACACAUUAAAUGGAGAAGUUAGGAGGAGUAUAUAUUUAUUUCGGUAGAAGGCUUCACUUUUCAUCUGGAAAUGGAUAUUUCAAUAGUUAUGAUAGUAAAAUGACUCCAAAGUUUUUGUUGAAAAAAGAAUCAACGAUUAAGGAGUAUUAUUAGAUAAAUAUUCAUAUACAGAGUUACAUAUAUUAUUUACAUGGAUUCGAUUUACUUUCAAGUUACAUAGGGAAGGAUGUUCUGUAGCAGCAAAGGAAAAUAAAUAAAAUUUGUUCACUGAAAGGAGCUGUUCCGAAUUCAUUUGAUUUUUAAAGGAAAUCCACAAUAUCAGCAUUUUUGAUCUCAAUGUAAAAAAGUGUAAAUGUCAAACAAAAAAUAAUUCAGUGUAGUAUUUUUCAAGAUUCCCACUUGUCUUGUAUAU